GCCAAAAAAAAAAAGAAAAAAUCUUUCCACAAUAUUCCAAUUUAUAGUAUUAGUCUCCUCAUUUUUUAUCUAAUUAAGAAUCUAACUCAAUUUAGGAAUAACAUAGAUAUUUUGAAAUAAAAUUUUCCAACUCAAAUUAUGUAAAGAUCCUACUAGUAUUUUGAGCUAUAAAUGAACAAAUGUAUAAACAAAUUUACAUAGCAUAAUUAAAGAAUGAAUUUCACAAUCAGCACUCAGCAGUUG
rnacentral:misc_RNA from 1 species